rnacentral:pre_miRNA from 1 species
GCCAUUGGCUGAGGGAGUUGUCGUGUGUCUGCCUGUCUACACUUGCUGUGCAGAACUUCCUGCACCUGUACAGCAGGCACAGACAGGCAGACAGACGGCAGCCCACCGG